ACACUAGCUGUUAUUGUUGAUGAAAAAAUUUUAAUGUUCGUUGAAACUAAUGUCGACAUUUAAAACAUGAAAAAUGCUAAAAAUCACUAGUUUACAUUGUUUAUUUUAACAGCAACAAUAAAAUUUAGCCAUCACAAAUUAUGAUUAGGAAAUAAGGAAAUGCAACAUUACUCAUUUUCGUGAAGUGUUUAUAUUCAUUUAUAUCCCAAUGGAUGAUCCCAAGUUAUUCCUCUUUAACCCAAUCCCUCCCUCAGGAGGGGAUCCAAGACAUCCUCUGAUGGAAGUAACCAUAGAAACAAGAAUAAAAUCAAGUCUCAUGGUAAAGCAAAAACAAACUCCUUCCAAAACUACCAAAGGGUAAACUGGUGUAAAUCCCAUUAUUAAUUAUUC